AAUAUUCGAAGAUCUUCAAUUCAAAUAUUCGAAGUUUCAAAUUUUCAGUUCAAAUUUUAUAUUCGUUCGAAAAACUCCCCCUUGUUCUUUUCUUCUUGAUUUAUAGCAGUUUCUAAGCCCCACUCAGUUUCUUCUUUACCCCUAAACCCCUUCAGCCUGAACUGAAGGUUGCUUCUGUAUUUCCUGAGAGGAAGGUUGUGUAUAUGAUCACCCCAUGCUCAUUUCAUUCAUAGUUCUAUAUUGUUUCUUGUUGCUGAAUCUUUGUUCUUAGUUUUCCUUCGCAUUGAUUUUGAAUUUGGAUUCAGUUUGCACCAUUUCUUUGCUUCAGCCUUCCCUGGAAAGGGCUAAUAUGAUAAGAUUAGCGAAAAGAAAGUGUCGACUUCUAUAGAGGUGCUCUGUAAGUCAUAUCCAUCUGAGUUUCUCUCUCGUAUACUGUCGUUCUUUGCGGUUUGAAGAUAAGCCCGAUUAUUCCUAUUUGAAGAGGCUUUUCCGAGACUUGUUUUUAAGAGAAGAUUAAUAGAGUAGAAUAUAUGCAUUCAAGAGGUUUUCUUCACCGUGACAUAAAGCCUGACAACUUCUUGAUGGGCCUAGGACGCAAGGCAAAUCAGAGAAAUCAAAAACCUCACAGGCACUGCUCGUUAUGCAAGUGUUAACACUCACCUUGGAAUUGAGCAAAGUCGCAGAGAUGAUUUGGAAUCCCUUGGUUAUAUGCUCAUGUAUUUCCUGAGAGGAAGGAUGUGUAUAUGAUCACCCCAUGCUCAUUUCAUUCAUGGUUCUAUAUUAUUUCUUGUUGCUGAGUCUUUGUUCUUUGUUUUCCUUCGCAUUGAUUUUGAAUUUGGUUCAGUUUGCACCAUUUCUUUGCUUCAGCCUUCCCUGGAAGGGGCUAAAAGCUAGCAAUUAGCGAAAAGAAAAUGUCGACUUCUAUGGAGGAAGCUAGCAGAUAAAUGUACUGGAGUUCAAGGGUUUUUGGUGUUUCAUGCUUGGAUCACUGCUUCUUGAAACGCUUUCAGUGGAUUAUGGUACAUCUGGUGAUGCAAUGCGAUACAAAUGAAGGUGGAAUGAACAAUGCAGAAUAAAAAACGAGCAAGUCAAUUAUAUGGGCAAUAAUUUUAGGCUUCAAAAUAAUCUUUAUAGUAACAAUUAUAAUGCAAGUUGGAGGAACCAUCACAAUUUCUCUUGGGGUGGUCAAGGAAAUAAAAAAGCACAACCCCUUCUGGUAUUCCAACCACCACCUUAUCAGCAAGAGAAAAAGCCAAACCUUGAGGAGAUGUUGACAAAGUUUAUCUCAGUAUCAGAAACGCGCUUUCAUGAUACAACACUAAAAAAUCAAAAAGCAUUGAUUCAAGGGCUUGAGAACCAAAUAGGUCAGCUUGUUAAGUUACCUACACGAAGUACUAAUUCACCCAAGCCGUGUAGCUCCUAAAAACAGCUUUAUUUGUCCAAUUUGGCUCGUUUUUUGCU